AUUGAACGCUGGCGGCAGGCCUAACACAUGCAAGUCGAACGAGUGGCGGACGGGUGAGUAAUGUCUGGGAAACUGCCUGAUGGAGGGGGAUAACUACUGGAAACGGUAGCUAAUACCGCAUACCAUCAGAUGGGCCCGGAGGGGAUUAGCUUGUUGGGGGGGUAACGGGUCACCACGGCGACGAUCCCUAGCCGGUCUGAGAGGAUGACCAGCCAAGCUGGAAAUGAGAAAAGUCCCAUACUCCUACGGGAGGCAGCAGUGGGGAAUAUUGCACAAUGGGCGAAAGCCUGAUGCAUCAAGGCACCGUGUAUGAAGAAGGCCUUGGGGUUGUAAAGUACUUUCAGCGGGGAGGCGUUACCCGCAGAAGAAGCACCGGCUAACUCCGUGCCAGCCGCCGCGGUAAUUC
rnacentral:rRNA from 1 species